rnacentral:rRNA from 1 species
UGAAGCGGUAAAAGCUCAAAUUUGAAAUCUGGCUCUUUUAGAGUCCGAAUUGUAAUUUGUAGAAGAUGCUUCGGGUGUGGUUCCGGUCUAAGUUCCUUGGAACAGGACGUCAUAGAGGGUGAGAAUCCCGUAUGUGACUGGAUACCUAUGCUCAUGUGAAGCUCUUUCGACGAGUCGAGUUGUUUGGGAAUGCAGCUCAAAAUGGGAGGUAUAUUUCUUCUAAAGCUAAAUAUUGGCCAGAGACCGAUAGCGCACAAGUAGAGUGAUCGAAAGAUGAAAAGCACUUUGGAAAGAGAGUUAAACAGUACGUGAAAUUGUUGAAAGGGAAGCGCUUGCAAUCAGACUUGCACUUGGUGUUCAUCAGGGUCUCGUACCCUGUGUACUUCAUCAAGUUCAGGCCAGCAUCAGUUUGAGUGGUUAGAUAAAGGCUUAGAGAAUGUGGCCCUCUUCGGGGGGUGUUAUAGCUCUAGGUGCAAUGUAGCCUACUUGGACUGAGGACCGCGCUUCGGCUAGGAUGCUGGCGUAAUGGUUGUAAGCGA